rnacentral:snoRNA from 1 species
AAGAAUUUAAAAGGUGGUGUAGCCAUGGGCUCUCCAACUGCAUGCAAGAGCAACCUGGAGAGACUUUGACAGCUCAGGUCAGCAUAAUACCUACAGCUGCCACUCGUCUUUCCUAUAUCU